rnacentral:rRNA from 1 species
UACGAAGGGGGCUAGCGUUGUUCGGAAUUACUGGGCGUAAAGCGCGCGCAGGCGGCUUGGUAAGUUGGGGGUGAAAUCCCUGGGCUCAACCCAGGAAUGGCCUUCAAGACUGCUUGGCUGGAGGACGAGAGAGGUGAGUGGAAUUCCCAGUGUAGAGGUGAAAUUCGUAGAUAUUGGGAAGAACACCGGUGGCGAAGGCGGCUCACUGGCUCGUUUCUGACGCUGAGGCGCGAAAGCGUGGGGAGCAAACGGG